GAUGAACGCUAGCGGGAGGCCUAACACAUGCAAGCCGAGCGGUAGAAAAUAGCUUGCUAUUUUUGAGAGCGGCGCACGGGUGCGGAACACGUGUGCAACCUACCUUUAUCAGGGGGAUAGCCUUUCGAAAGGAAGAUUAAUACCCCAUAAUAUUUAGAAUGGCAUCAUUUUAAAUUGAAAACUCCGGUGGAUAGAGAUGGGCACGCGCAAGAUUAGAUAGUUGGUGAGGUAACGGCUCACCAAGUCAAUGAUCUUUAGGGGGCCUGAGAGGGUGAUCCCCCACACUGGUACUGAGACACGGACCAGACUCCUACGGGAGGCAGCAGUGAGGAAUAUUGGACAAUGGGUGAGAGCCUGAUCCAGCCAUCCCGCGUGAAGGACGACUGCCCUAUGGGUUGUAAACUUCUUUUGUACAGGGAUAAACCUAGAUACGUGUAUCUAGCUGAAGGUACUGUACGAAUAAGCACCGGCUAACUCC
rnacentral:rRNA from 1 species